UACGUAGGCAGCAAGCGUUGUUCGGAGUUACUGGGCGUAAAGGGUGCGUAGGCGGCUUUUUAAGUUUGGUGUGAAAUCUCCCGGCUCAACUGGGAGGGUGCGCCGAAUACUGAGAGGCUAGAGUGUGGGAGAGGAAAGUGGAAUUCCUGGUGUAGCGGUGAAAUGCGUAGAUAUCAGGAGGAACACCGGUGGUGUAAACGGCUUUCUGGACCAUAACUGACGCUGAUGCACGAAAGCGUGGGGAGCAAACAGG
rnacentral:rRNA from 1 species